rnacentral:rRNA from 1 species
UACGAAGGGGGCUAGCGUUGUUCGGAAUUACUGGGCGUAAAGCGCGCGCAGGCGGCCUUUCAAGUCGGUGGUGAAAUCCCAAAGCUCAACUUUGGAAUUGCCAUCGAAACUGUAAGGCUUGGGUACGGGAGAGGUGAGUGGAAUUCCGAGUGUAGAGGUGAAAUUCGUAGAUAUUCGGAAGAACACCAGUGGCGAAGGCGGCUCACUGGACUGGUAUUGACGCUGAGGUGCGAAAGCGUGGGGAGCAAACAGG